AGUCGACGAUGAAUCUUCUAGCUUGCUAGAAGUGGAUUAGUGGCGCACGGGUGAGUAAUGCAUAGGUUAUGUGCCCUUUAGUCUGGGAUAGCCACUGGAAACGGUGAUUAAUACUGGAUACUCCCUACGGGGGAAAGUUUUUCGCUAAAGGAUCAGCCUAUGUCCUAUCAGCUUGUUGGUGAGGUAAUGGCUCACCAAGGCUAUGACGGGUAUCCGGCCUGAGAGGGUGAUCGGACACACUGGAACUGAGACACGGUCCAGACUCCUACGGGAGGCAGCAGUAGGGAAUAUUGCUCAAUGGGGGAAACCCUGAAGCAGCAACGCCGCGUGGAGGAUGAAGGUUUUAGGAUUGUAAACUCCUUUUGUUAGAGAAGAUUAUGACGGUAUCUAACGAAUAAGCACCGGCUAACUCCGUGCCAGCAGCCGCGGUAAUACGGAGGGUGCAAGCGUUACUCGGAAUCACUGGGCGUAAAGAGUGCGUAGGCGGGGUAAUAAGUCAGAUGUGAAAUCCUGUAGCUUAACUACAGAACUGCAUUUGAAACUGUUACUCUGGAGUGUGGGAGAGGUAGGUGGAAUUCUUGGUGUAGGGGUAAAAUCCGUAGAGAUCAAGAGGAAUACUCAUUGCGAAGGCGACCUGCUGGAACAUUACUGACGCUGAUGCACGAAAGCGUGGGGAGCAAACAGGAUUAGAUACCCUGGUAGUCCACGCCCUAAACGAUGGAUGCUAGUUGUUGCCUUGCUUGUCAGGGCAGUAAUGCAGCUAACGCAUUAAGCAUCCCGCCUGGGGAGUACGGUCGCAAGAUUAAAACUCAAAGGAAUAGACGGGGACCCGCACAAGCGGUG
rnacentral:rRNA from 1 species